GGACGAACGCUGGCGGCGUGCUUAACACAUGCAAGUCGAACGGAAAGGCCCUGCUUUUGUGGGGUGCUCGAGUGGCGAACGGGUGAGUAACACGUGAGUAACCUGCCCUUGACUUUGGGAUAACUUCAGGAAACUGGGGCUAAUACCGGAUAGGAGCUCCUGCUGCAUGGUGGGGGUUGGAAAGUUUCGGCGGUUGGGGAUGGACUCGCGGCUUAUCAGCUUGUUGGUGGGGUAGUGGCUUACCAAGGCUUUGACGGGUAGCCGGCCUGAGAGGGUGACCGGCCACAUUGGGACUGAGAUACGGCCCAGACUCUUACGGGAGGCAGCAGUGGGGAAUAUUGCACAAUGGGCGGAAGCCUGAUGCAGCAACGCCGCGUGCGGGAUGACGGCCUUCGGGUUGUAAACCGCUUUCGCCUGUGACGAAGCGUGAGUGACGGUAAUGGGUAAAGAAGCACCGGCUAACUACGUG
rnacentral:rRNA from 1 species